CCUACGGGAGGCAGCAGUGGGGAAUAUUGCACAAUGGGCGAAACCCUGAUGCAGCGACGCCGCGUGAGUGAAGAAGUCAUUCGGUAUGUAAAGCUCUAUCAGCAGGGAAGAAAAUGGCGGUACUUGUGAAAGAAGCCCUGGCCAAAUACCUGCCAGCAACCGCGGUAUGACGGAGGGGGCAAGCGUUAUCCGGAUUGACUGGGGUGAAAGGGAGUGUAGAUGGCUGUGCAAGUCUGGAGUGAAAGGCGGGGGCUCAACCCCCGGACUGCUCUGGAAACUGGACGGCUGGAGUGCAGUAGAGGUAAGUAGAAUUCCAAGUGUAGCGGUGAAAUGCGUAGAUAUUAGGAGGAACACCAGUGGCGAAGGCGGCUUACUGGACAGUAACUGACGUUGAGGCUCGAAAGCGUGGGGAGCAAACAGGAUUAGAUACCCUAGUAGUC
rnacentral:rRNA from 1 species